GGAGGGGUGGCCGAGCGGUUUAAGGCGACGGUUUGCUAAAUCGUUGAGGCCAAAAGCCUCGCGCAGGUUCAAAUCCUGUCCCCUCCGCCA
rnacentral:tRNA from 2 species